AUACUCAAGUGGGUCAGCUGGUAACUUACAAAUCGCGACUUACAACAUACGACGUACUGGCUGGCGUGUUGCAUGCAACAAAUGGCCGAUAAAGCAACGAGGCAUAGCCAAAGUGACCGACCCACCGAUUUGAUUUAUGCCCACGACCCACUCUCCCGUAAUCCAUUUACACAUGCGAUUUGUCUUGGGUUUCCUUUCCCCAUGAAUUAUGAUCUCGGUCAGUGGGGUGUGAUGGUCAAGACAUUAGCUUUCCCGUUACCCAAGUCACACGAUCGCCGACAGCUGGGCGAAAGCGAUGGAAAACCCAAGCCAACUCUCCAAGAACCCGAGAUCUGUGUAGCCUCUAUAACGCCUGCGGAAUUAUCUAUUAUGUCCAGCGCUUACAACUGGACACUCCUCUGAAAACUGAAAUCGGACUCUCGUGAGAUUUAUGGGGCAGCCGACGACGUGGCGGAGUACAAAAUAAAUACAAAACUUAGCGACAACAAACCAGAAUGAGAAUCAAAACUUGAACUCGAACCAUCCCGUCCAGCGGCGUCUGCUGGAUGCAAUUAGCCGACGUAAAGUCACGUAGAGUAAUUGCAGUGCCGGGUGGACGAAGGGCAAGUUGCCCGUCCGCAACCAGGAGAGAUAAAUGAGGCAAAUUAGCACUCGGCGACCCGGUCAGAAAAAAAAAGAACACCGGAUUGUGGGUAAGGGCAAAU
ensembl:ncRNA lncRNA:CR45645 long non-coding RNA:CR45645